UUCCAUUCAUCAUGGGCAUCACAGGCAUGAUUUUUUCCCAGUGUAUAUAAUGGAAAAGCUAAUCUCUAUGAUAUUAUAAUGAAUAUGUAGGUGAGGAACUUCCCUUCUCAGCAUCUUUACCAUCUCUCAAGAAGAGUAUUGAGGGUUGAUUUUAUUGGAAUGUUGCCUGCAGGUGUUGGACAGGUUAUCAAAGGAUGGGAUGUUGGCGUCAAUGGUAUGCAAGAUUAUUAUGUUGUUUGAUUUUGCUGCUAAUAUGGAGCAGAAAACAUUGUUUCAAAUAAAGGGGUGCAGAAACCAAGUUGGUGUCUUGAUAUUAACUGUUGCUAUUACAUCCAUGGAUCUUUUCCUGACGAUGUAUGUGCUACAGGAAUACAGGAUAGUACCUGUUGACCAGUAAUGCAGAGGUUUGUCAGCAUUACCCUGUUCUCAAUAUUGCUCAGAAAAUAUAUAUUUACAGUCAUCAAAAUAUUUCUGGCUGGAUAGAUUCAAUUUAGAUUCCUAUUCUAUGUCAAGGUACCAUGUUCAAAAAUUUUGUAGUGCAACUUGUACAUCGAAAUCAGUAGAUGCAUCUUUCGAGUUCCUGAUAUAUGAUCAGUCCCAUGGAAUGCACUAAGAGCAGCUACAUAAUGUAGCAGCUUAUACCUUUUCAUUUUCUUCAGCAUGUGCAUGUUCGUAGCAUUUGCUUAAUGAGAAGUUGUCUAUCUUGAUAACCAACCUUUUAGCUAUAUGUGUAGGGGAUGUGUAACCACAAGAAUGCCUAUUUGUACCUGAUGAUUCUGUCCUUUAAGUUUAUCACUGCCAAUCAGCCAACAUAUCGAAUAUAAAUUUUUGGGAGGUUCAUAAUUCAACGUUUUCUUUUCUGUUCAGAUUCUAACUUGACGACAUACAAGUAAAGCUGAAAAUUUAAAUGCACAUGGUACAAGGUUAAACUUAAGAAAUAUGCUAAAGCUUCCUAUUGUAUUCAAAGACUUUGCCUUCAUAUUUGUCUGUGGCAUCUCGGUAAGCAAUAUUGUUUUAUAAAAUUCUAUGUUCAUUCCAUUGAGCACCUACAGGUCUGACUCCCUUUGGGCCAAGCAUUUCUUGGAUUGUUUAAUU